UACGUAGGAGGCGAGCGUUGUCCGGAGUUACUGGGCGUAAAGGGUGCGUAGGCGGCCGUGCGCGUGGGGGGUGAAAUCGCCUGGCUUACCUGGGCGGGGGCUUUCCAGACGGCACGGCUUGAGGGACGGAGAGGGGCGUGGAAUUCCGGGUGGAGCGGUGAAAUGCGUAGAGAUCCGGAGGAACACCGACGGCGAAGGCAGCGCCCUGGCCGUGCAUACCCUGACGCUGAGGCACGAAAGCUGGGGGAGCGAACAGG
rnacentral:rRNA from 1 species